AUUGAACGCUGGCGGCAUGCCUAACACAUGCAAGUCGAACGGCAGCACAGUCGUAGCAAUACGAUGGGUGGCGAGUGGCGGACGGGUGAGGAAUGCAUCGGAAUCUGCCCGGUUGUGGGGGAUAACCAGUCGAAAGGCUGGCUAAUACCGCAUGCGACCGAGAGGUGAAAGCGGGGGACCGAAAGGCCUCGCGCGAUCGGAUGAGCCGAUGCCGGAUAGCUAGUUGGCGGGGUAAGAGCCCACCAAGGCGACGAUCCGUAGCUGGUCUGAGAGGAUGAUCAGCCACACUGGGACUGAGACACGGCCCAGACUCCUACGGGAGGCAGCAGUGGGGAAUAUUGGACAAUGGGCGCAAGCCUGAUCCAGCAAUGCCGCGUGUGUGAAGAAGG
rnacentral:rRNA from 1 species